rnacentral:rRNA from 1 species
UCCUACGGGAGGCAGCAGUGAGGAAUUUUGCGCAAUGGGCGAAAGCCUGACGCAGCGACGCCGCGUGGAGGAAGACGGCCUUCGGGUUGUAAACUCCUGUCAGGGGUGAAGAAACUUCGCAAGAAGCUGACGGUAACCCCAGAGGAAGCCCCGGCUAACUACGUGCCAGCAGCCGCGGUAAUACGUAGGGGGCGAGCGUUGCUCGGAAUUACUGGGCGUAAAGGGUGUGCAGGCGGCUGGUUAAGUCAAGGAUGAAAUCCCGAGGCUCAACUUCGGAACUGUCCUUGAUACUGAUCAGCUUGAGGCUGGUUGAGGAGAGCGGAAUUCCCGGUGGAGCGGUGAAAUGCGUGGAUAUCGGGAGGAACACCAGAGGCGUAGGCGGCUCUCUAAACUAGUCCUGACGCUGAGACACGAAAGCUAGGGGAGCAAACGGGAUUAGAUACCCCGGUAGUCCUAGCCGUAAACGAUGGACACUAGAUGUUCCUGCGUUUAAGUGGGAGUGUCGUAGUUAACGCGUUAAGUGUCCCGCCUGGGGAGUACGGUCGCAAGGCUGAAACUCAAAUGAAUUGACGG